AGGACGAACGCUGGCGGCGUGCUUAACACAUGCAAGUCGAGCGAGGCUCCUCCUUCGGGAGGAAGCCCUAGCGGCGAACGGGUGAGUAACACGUGGGCAACCUGCCCCUAGCACUGGGAUAACCCCGGGAAACCGGGGCUAAUACCGGAUACGACUUCGGAAGGCAUCUUCUGAAGUGGAAAAGGUUACUGGCUAGGGAUGGGCCCGCGGCCUAUCAGCUUGUUGGUGGGGUAAUGGCCCACCAAGGCGACGACGGGUAGCCGGCCUGAGAGGGCGACCGGCCACACUGGGACUGAGACACGGCCCAGACUCCUACGGGAGGCAGCAGUGGGGAAUAUUGCACAAUGGGCGAAAGCCUGAUGCAGCGACGCCGCGUGAGGGAUGACGGCCUUCGGGUUGUAAACCUCUUUCAGCAGGACGAAGCGAAAGUGACGGUACUGCAGAAGAAGCACCGGCAACUACGUGCCAGCAGCCGC
rnacentral:rRNA from 1 species